GACGAACGCUGGCGGCGUGCUUAACACAUGCAAGUCGAACGGUAAGGCCCUUCGGGUGUGAAUUAGCGGCGAACGGGUGAGGAACACGUGAAGAAUCUGCCUUCAACUCUGGGAUAACUCCGGGAAACUGGGGCUAAUACCGGAUAUGAGCCUUGAUCGCAUGAUCGGGGCUGGAAAGUUUUUCGGUUGAAGAUGACUUCGCGGCCUAUCAGCUUGUUGGUGAGGUAAUGGCUCACCAAGGCGACGACGGGUAGCCGGCCUGAGAGGGCAACCGGCCACGCUGGGACUGAGACACGGCCCAGACUCCUGCAGGAGGCAGGAGUGGGGAAUAUGGGGCAAUGGAGGAAACUCUGACCCAGCGACGCCGCGUGAGGGAUGAAGGCCUUCGGGUUGUAAACCUCUUUCAGUAGGGAAGAAGCGAAAGUGACGGUACCUACAGAAGAAGCACCGGCUAACUAUGUGCCAGCAGCCGCAGUAA
rnacentral:rRNA from 1 species